GUCUGUAUAGUGUAGUGGUUUCAUCACGUUUCGCUUACAUAAGCAUUGCUUCAUGUUCCGAAAAGGUCCCAGGUUCGAACCCUGGUACAGACA